CGUAUGUUUUGUUUGUAGUUUUUUACGUGUUGCGUCAUGAGGUGUAGUGUCUGGGUUUAAUGCAUGGAGAAACACUAGUAUCAUAAUACUGAACUUUGAUUUGUUAGGUCUUUGCUCAAUGAAUGAUUAACCUGUGUUGUUACAGGUGUGCAUGAUUUGAAAUGCUCAACAGAUGAUGAAAGCUCAACUGUAGGGAAAAGAUGUCCAAAAUAUACUUUGACCUGUUGGCUUGCUUCUACAAUGCUAUGCGAACAUUCCUAUCACACACAUAAUAUUAAGUUACCUAACAUACAGUCAGAGAUGUCGUGGCUCUCCUACUGUGAACAUUAUGAAUGUCAUCUUCAUCUUACAGCUCUCCACACCUGGUACAUGUCAGAAAGAGAAUAAGCAUCAAUGGACAGCCAAUCAGCAAAGAGCUCUUCACCAAAUACUUCUGGGAGGUGUACGCCCAGUUAGAUGCUACAAAGUUAUAGUACGUCUUCAUAGAGAGUUGAAGAAUGAACACUGACAUAGCCCAUCACUCUCAAAGGAACUCUCUGACCCUUCCUUGUUAUGACGGUGUCACUGCACUGAUCCUCAGGACUCCCAUGGAGGUAGUAUGCCGGCUUAUUUCGGCUUCCUCACCAUCCUGGUGUUCCAUGUCUUCCUAUAGGAGAGGGUAACAUUCACAUACCCUGUCACAUGUACAGUUUGUUCACAAAUGUACUAAUGACCAAAUCAAUUGAUAACAGUUGUAAACCAUUCUGAGCAGGAUCUCUCUAUAUAAAAUAUGGAUUUAUCUGUAGUUGAGGUUGUGAUUGGAGGGGCCUAUGACUGUACAAACAUCAUCAGGUAAUUUUGCUGCAUAUCAUAAAGGCUGUAUUAUCAAAGUCAAACAUAAGAUUGAGUAGUUACAGAAUCUAUAUACACUUACUUUUCUUCCUGACAUUUGGUGAACAGGAAGCUGUGGGUUUGUGGGAUCACACAAGUAUACUAGGAGACACCAUAGAGGAGAUGGCCUGGCAGAAAGCAGGCAUAUCUAAGCCAGGGGUGCCAGCAUUCACUGUGAGGCAGCCAGCUAGGCCCAUGACUGUUCUACAGGACAGAGCCAAAGAGAUAGGGUGGGUGUGUCCAGAUCUGGAGCAGUAUGAAGUUGGGGCUGGCCCUCUGUUUCUGGGCCUGGCUGGACAACAGCAGAGCUACACCGCUACACCGCUACCGACAGUCUGAUGACCAUCUCGCUACACCAGUAGUGGAGAACAGGCUGGUCUCCCAGGCAGCAGCCUUUCAGCCCAGCACCAUCAUGGUCAAAGAUCAGCAGAAUUUCAAUAUGUUGGUGGAGAACAUGCUUACCCGUUGCCUGGACAACGAGAGCAGCUAGCAGAGCUUGAGUGGGACAGAGAAGCAGCAGGGAUCUGAGUCAGAGCUGCUGAUACAGGACAGGUUCCCCCUGCUGGCCAAGACCAGGGCACACACCCUGGUCUACCCCUGCAUCUUCAGCGCCCUCCAGUGGAUCAGUCAGGGAAGGGACGCUGAGCCACAGAUAGAACAUCUUUGGCUGUGCUGGCUACUGCAGGCAGCCACUCUCCCAGUACAGCCCAAUGUCAUGGCUAAAGCAGCACCACUAUGAGAGGCAGCCCACGUCUCUGGCCUGGUAGUCUACACCUGGUGGGAGGGGCUCUGAAACACCUGGCCCCCUCGCUAGCCUCCUAAUGGACUAUUGGCCCAGCAGUUUAGAUUCUAUUUGGAUUACUGGUUAGUUUGGAUCCGUCUGGCUGGUUUUUCUGUAGGACAUUGAGAUACACUCAAUGUUUGACAGGUAUAAUAUUUGAGGUGUUUACAGCUGAGGGUCUUCUUAAAUAGAUGUGUGCUCCUUGUCCAGUACAGCGCACUCAAAGGGAAAGGUAAAGGGGGAUACCUAGGCAGCUGUACAACUCAAUGCAUUCAACUGAAAUGUGUCUUCCGCAUUUAACCCAACCCC